CNCAACCCAUGUGACCAUACCAAACUGUUGCCUCGGCGGGGUCACGCCCCGGGUGCGUCGCAGCCCCGGAACCAGGCGCCCGCCGGAGGGACCAACCAAACUCUUUCUGUAGUCCCCUCGCGGACGUUAUUUCUUACAGCUCUGAGCAAAAAUUCAAAAUGAAUCAAAACUUUCAACAACGGAUCUCUUGGUUCUGGCAUCGAUGAAGAACGCAGCGAAAUGCGAUAAGUAAUGUGAAUUGCAGAAUUCAGUGAAUCAUCGAAUCUUUGAACGCACAUUGCGCCCGCCAGUAUUCUGGCGGGCAUGCCUGUCCGAGCGUCAUUUCAACCCUCGAACCCCUCCGGGGGUCCGGCGUUGGGGAUCGGGAACCCCUAAGACGGGAUCCCGGCCCCGAAAUACAGUGGCGGUCUCGCCGCAGCCUCUCAUGCGCAGUAGUUUGCACAACUCGCACCGGGAGCGCGGCGCGUCCACGUCCGUAAAACACCCAACUUCUGAAAUGUUGACCUCGGAUCAGGUAGGAAUACCCGCUGAACUUAAGCAUAUCAAUA
rnacentral:rRNA from 1 species